CAGAUUUAGGACCUUAAACUGUGGCCUCGCCAUCCUUCCCGUCUUAUUUUCCUGCACCGGAGUGAAUGUCUCCUUGCUGUCCUUGCUUUCUGUCCUGCUGCAGGGCUCUCGCUGAGCUGGUGAAACACAAGCCCAAGGCCACAGAAGAUCAGCUGAAGACGGUGAUGGGUGACUUCGCACAAUUCGUGGACAAGUGUUGCAAGGCUGCCGACAAGGAUAACUGCUUCGCCACUGAGGUAACAAAUGUCUUCUCCAUUUUGAUUUGUGAGCCUUCCAUUUUCUGUGCACUUGGUCAGGUUUAGAGCUCCGGAACUCACAUACUGGUUAAUGUGAUCAAUCCAGAUUUUGUUUGCUACACAACUGUAGUAGAAACCGACUUACGUAGCUCUUAAUUUUUAUCUUCUACCACACUGCUGCAUAUUACAUGGUUAUUAUCACUAUUUGGUUUCAAAUUUGUGACGCAUACGAACAUGGUUGGAAAUACUUGUAAAGCCCAGAAUCGCUAACUCAUUUAAGCCUUGCCCUGAAAUGCUACUUUUUGAACUGAGUUAUUUUAUACACUAAUGGAGAACAUUUACCAUUCAAUGUCUGAAUCAUUUCACAUUCCCUCCGGUGCCCUAACAACAGUUUAUCCUUUUAUUUUGGACACAACAGAUGUCAGAGAGCCUGUUUUAAGAAUUCCAAUGGAACUGUAAUUAAGCAAGGCCAGGCACAUGCAUUUACCAUGUAUCAUCACCGAUGGCUAUGGAAGUGCAAACCCUAAUAGUCCUGCUAAUAUUUUUCUAACAUCCACCAUUUUUUCCUGGUCAGGGGCCAAACCUUGUUGCUAGAAGCAAAGAAGCCUUAGCCUAAACACAUCACAACCAUCUCAGGUAACUAUACUCGGGAAUUUUAAAACACAAUCAUAAUCAUUUUUCCUAAAACGAUCAAGAUCGAUAAGCAUUUGCCAAGAGCCACAUGGAUAAGCGCCAGCCGGCACUCUUAGGUCCUCUCGUAUGGUCGUCAAUUUGGGUUCCAUUUGUAGAUAAGAAACUGAACACAUAAAGGUCUAGGUUAAUGUACUUUACACAAGAGGCAACCAAACCAGGGAGAGAAGACACCAAAAUUAAAAAUUCAAAAGAGCCACAGAGUUGAUCGUGGUUUUGCUCUGGCUUACAGCAACCACUAUGUAGAGUCGCCCAUGUUAGCCCAACCUAGAGUAUCCUCUGAAUGAAGCUGAAACCAGAUGAAUGAACAUUUUUGGGUCAAAACAUUUGUGUAUCAAUGAUUCCAUGUAGUUUGACCCAAUAGUUCUGUGAACUCAUUUCACCAGAAGAUACAGUGGGUUCUGUUUCAUAAGUGAUCUGCUUUCAAAUUUCUGAUGUGCCACAUGCUAAACUUUAACAGAAUUUAUCUUCUUAUGACAAAGCAGCCUCCUUUGAACAUAUAGAUGGCUACAUGGCUAUGUUGACCAAUUCUGUUUGGAGUCUUUUGGAAGAGAAUUUUAAGAAUUGGGUGAUAAUGGAAGACUUUGGUAAAAAAUUGUGUCUCCAUAUGAAAACAAAAACUUACUUUUUA
rnacentral:lncRNA from 1 species